GUGGCGCAGGCAGUGGAGCGCGCCAAGCAGGUCACCAUGACGGAGCUGAACGCCAUCAUCGGGAUAAGGAAAUUUGAGGCUCCAGGACUUGAAGUAACCUGCCCCAGGCCACACAGCUAGGAAGUGCCAGAGCUGGGAUUUCAAUCCUGUUCUGUCUAGUUCCAAAGCCUCCACUCUUCCAGUUACCCCGUUUUCCACCACUGAUGUCCGGUGACGUUAGCUCUCAUUCCACUGGCCCCCAGCUCAUCUGGCUCUGGGGCCUUUGCUGUGAUGACCUGCCCUGCCCCUGCUCUGUAAGGCAGGCUUGGAGUUCCUAAGAAAUAAGGAGCCUUCCCCAGGGUCCAGCCUCAGGGUGGAAGAUGCUGGCAGCUAAUGCUGAAGGCAUCAGCAGCUCCAGGCGCAGCACCUCUCCCAUGCCACACACGGCCCCCCGGUCCAGUUGCCACCCCACCCGUCA
rnacentral:lncRNA from 1 species